rnacentral:rRNA from 1 species
GAUGAACGCUGGCGGCGUGCUUAACACAUGCAAGUCGAACGGUGAAGCAGGAGCUUGCUCCUGUGGAUCAGUGGCGAACGGGUGAGUAACACGUGAGCAAUCUGCCCUGGACUCUGGGAUAAGCGUUGGAAACGACGUCUAAUACCGGAUACGAGGCGUGGGGGCAUCCCCAACGCCUGGAAAGAACUUCGGUCCAGGAUGAGCUCGCGGCCUAUCAGGUAGUUGGUGAGGUAACGGCUCACCAAGCCUACGACGGGUAGCCGGCCUGAGAGGGUGACCGGCCACACUGGGACUGAGACACGGCCCAGACUCCUACGGGAGGCAGCAGUGGGGAAUAUUGGUCAAUGGACGCAAGUCUGAACCAGCCAUGCCGCGUGAAGGAUGAAGGUCCUCUGGAUUGUAAACUUCUUUUAUAUGGGACGAAACCUCUUAUUCUUAAGAGUCUGACGGUACCAUAGGAAUAAGCACCGGCUAACUCCGUGCCAGCAGCCGCAGUAAUAC